rnacentral:lncRNA from 12 species
AUGAUGUACAAUGUCUCCUGGCCAAAUGAAGGUGGAAUAAGAGCAUGCCUUUGCUCUUUAUCUCUUUUCAUUUGUUUCCCUUUCUCUCACUAAGCCCUUAGUUUGAUGCAAAUUAGCAUAAUUCAAAAUGCUGUUAGUCCAAACAGAGGUGUAUUUAUUUAUAGGUAGAUAAACGGGUGGAUGUAUGGAUAGAUAGAUGGAAAGAAAAAGAGAGGCACAGAGAAAGAGAUUUUACGAGUUAAUGAAAUCAUUACUCCUCUGCACCUGUCCCCAUCUCACCCAUUGCCCUGCCACAGUGGUGACACAAGACCAAGCCUGAGCCUCUUGGGGACAACAGCAGAUCAUGGUGUCACAGACAGCAGGGCACAUCAUAUUUUUUUCUGGAGUUGGUAAAGUGGAAAAAUGGGGAUCUGGGCUUACAGGCGAUCGUCUUCCCUAUCAUGAGAUGAGUCUGUAGAAAGGAGUCCAAUGAAGAGAACCCAGGGAAGACCGAAUCUUUUCAGAACCCAGAUCUAGAUGAGCCACAGUCCAGCUGCCCUGUGUUUACUACUUUCUUUCCCUGCUUCACUUAGUCUGAACUUAGAAAAUGUUCCUGUGCCUGCCUGGGCUUUUCAUACAUCAGUACUCUUCCCUGGGGCUUAUAUUUUAUUAUAUAAGCAAGAGUUGAUUUUACACAGUCCUCAAGUUCUCAUCUUCAUUCCUUCUCCCAGAGGCCCACCAACCAAGUUUACACAAAGAAUACCCUCCAACUUCAGGAAGUUCGCAUUUCAGUGCUUUGCUUUUACGAAGACCUGUAUUGGUACCUGCUUUCAGUAA